rnacentral:rRNA from 1 species
GACGAACGCCGGCGGCGUGCUUAACACAUGCAAGUCGAGCGGUAAGGCCCUUUCGGGGGUACACGAGCGGCGAACGGGUGAGUAACACGUGAGCAACCUGCCCUUCUCUUUGGAAUAAGCGUUGGAAACGACGUCUAAUGCCGAAUAUGACCCCCUGUCGCAUGGUGGGGGGUGGAAAGCUCUGGCGGAGAAGGAUGGGCUCCGGGCCUACCGGCUUGUUGGUGUGGGUAAUGGCCCACCAAGGCGACGACGGGUAGCCGGCCUGAGGGGGUGACCGGCCACACUGGGACUGAGACACGGCCCAGACUCCUACGGGAGGCAGCAGUGGGGAAUAUUGGACAAUGGGCGAAAGCCUGAUCCAGCAACGCCGCGUGAGGGAUGACGGCCUUCGGGUUGUAAACCUCUUUCAGCAGGGACGAAGCGAGAGUGACGGUACCUGCAGAAGAAGGACCGGCCAACUACGUGCCAGCCGCCGCGGUAA